rnacentral:rRNA from 1 species
UACGGAGGGUGCAAGCGUUAUCCGGAUUCGCUGGGUUUAAAGGGUGCGUAGGAGGGCAGGUAAGUCAGUGGUGAAAUCCCCGAGCUUAACUUGGGAACUGCCGUUGAUACUAUCUGUCUUGAAUACCGUGGAGGUGAGCGGAAUAUGUCAUGUAGCGGUGAAAUGCUUAGAUAUGACAUAGAACACCAAUUGCGAAGGCAGCUCGCUACACGAAUAUUGACUCUGAGGCACGAAAGCGUGGGGAUCAAACAGG